UGGGGAAUAUUGCGCAAUGGGGGAAACCCUGACGCAGCAACGCCGCGUGAAGGAUGAAGGUUUUCGGAUCGUAAACUUCUUUGAUGAGGGAAGAAUAAUGACGGUACCUCAAAAACAAGCCACGGCUAACUACGUGCCAGCAGCCGCGGUAAUACGUAGGUGGCGAGCGUUGUCCGGAAUUACUGGGUGUAAAGGGCGUGUAGGCGGGAAUGCAAGUCAGAUGUGAAACUCCGGGGCUUAACUUCGGAACUGCAUCUGAAACUGUGUUUCUUGAGUGCUGGAGAGGAAAGCGGUAUUCCUAGUGUAGCGGUGAAAUGCGUAGAUAUUAGGAGGAACACCAGUGGCGAAGGCGGCUUUCUGGACAGUAACUGACGCUGAGGCGCGAAAGCGUGGGGAGCAAACA
rnacentral:rRNA from 1 species